CAGGAUGAACGCUAGCGGCAGGCUUAACACAUGCAAGUCGAGGGGUAACGAUGGUGCUUGCACCAGGCGACGACCGGCGGACGGGUGGGUAACACGUAUGCAAUUUGCCUUUAACUGGAGGAUAGCUUCGGGAAACCGUAACUAAUACUCCAUAGUAUUCAAAAGACGCAUGUUUUUUGAAUUAAAGCUCCGGCGGUUAAAGAUAAGCAUGCGGGACAUUAGCUAGUUGGUAAGGUAACGGCUUACCAAGGCGACGAUGUCUAGGGGGUUUGAGAGGAUGAUCCCCCACACUGGUACUGAGACACGGACCAGACUCCUACGGGAGGCAGCAGUGAGGAAUAUUGGGCAAUGGGCGCAAGCCUGACCCAGCCAUGCCGCGUGCAGGAUGAAGGUCCUAUGGAUCGUAAACUGCUUUUGUAUGGGAAGAACUUCCCGCAUUCGUGCGGGAUUGACGGUACUAUACGAAUAAGGACCGGCUAACUCCGUGCCAGCAGCCGCGGUAAUACGGAGGGUCCAAGCGUUAUCCGGAUUCACUGGGUUUAAAGGGUGCGUAGGUGGAACGAUAAGUCGAUGGUGAAAGCCUACAGCUUAACUGUAGAAUUGCCAUUGAUACUGUUGUUCUUGAGUAUAGUCGGGGGAAGUGGAAUGCGUAAUGUAGCGGUGAAAUGCAUAGAUAUUACGCAGAACACCGAUCGCGAAAAGCAGCUUCCUAGGCUAUUACUGACACUGAGGCACGAAAGCGUGGGGAGCGAACAGGAUUAGAUACCCUGGUAGUCCACGCCGUAAACGAUGCUCAACUCGCUGUUGGCGAUAUAUUGUCAGCAGUUAAGCUAAAGCAUUAAGUGAGCCACCUGGG
rnacentral:rRNA from 1 species